rnacentral:lncRNA from 1 species
GUGAGGAGCAUUGGUGAAUCUGAUCGGAAAUGGUGGGAAAGAACGCUUGGUUGCAUUGAGGAACAUCAUUCAGAUGAUAUCAUUCAUAUGAUAUUAAUUGCUAGGCCAUGUAGCCCAACUGCUGGUGUAACAUCAGAACUCGUAAAUCUAUCCAUCUAGUGGAUUGCUGUUGGUUGGGGUAAGAGUGUUCAUGGAAGUAUAUGGGGUCUGGAGUGGCUGUUUAAAUGUAGAGCCUUAUGGAGCCCAAGGGCAAAAAUAGGUUUUCUUUGCAUACCUCAACAUCAACUUACUAAGUUGAACCUCGGGCUUUGCCCUCUAAAAAGCAAACACAAUGAACUGUUACAUUCUUGAAAUUAGUUUUCUUUAAUUAUUCAUUUAGUGUUCACUAAUUGAAUGAUGACUAGGUCUAUUAUCUGCAAAUUAUAUGAACAUAUCAUACACUAAAUAUUUGUAGUAAUAACCUGGUCUGAUCGUUGAUCCAAAAGUUGGACCACUGCAUAGAGACCUAAACCCUUGAUUUUGUCGAUCUUUGAUCUGAUUUUUAUAACUAUCAAGUAAUGCAUAUAUUUUAUUUAAAUUACAGAACUCUGCCAAAAGUUUUUUUCUCUCCCUUUUUUGGAUAAAGGAGAGAGAACUUUAUCAGAAGUUACAGAUAAGCUAUCACUAUUAGUUAUAGUACAUCGAAUAUUUUUUUUUCCCUCAACAAUAGAUUAACAUAAUGAAAAGCAAAUUACCACCUUAUCACAAUGCAAAAGAGUGCUAGCAAGUCAUCACUAUUAGUUAUAGCACACAAAAUAAUGUUUCUCAAAUUUAUAGUAACACAGCAAAAAAUAAACUUCCAUAUUAUCACAAUGCCAUUAGAGUGCUUGCAAGCCAUUUGCUCCACAAUCCAUUGAACUUUCUACUUUCUUCUCACAGUCCCUCUCCAUAUGUACAAGCCGAAACCACCGCCUGUGCCUCCACAAUCAAUUCCAAGAACCACACUGGGAACAUUUGGAGAGGACAAAUGAAUUCAUGCUAACUAUAAAAAUUCAU